rnacentral:rRNA from 1 species
GACGAACGCUGGCGGCGUGCUUAACACAUGCAAGUCGAACGGAAAGGCCCUGCUUGCAGGGUGCUCGAGUGGCGAACGGGUGAGUAACACGUGGGUGAUCUGCCCCUUACUUUGGGAUAAGCCUGGGAAACUGGGUCUAAUACUGGAUAGGACCAUGCUGUAGGUGGUGUGGUGGAAAGAUUAGUUUCGGUAAGGGAUGAGCUCGCGGCCUAUCAGCUUGUUGGUGGGGUAAUGGCCUACCAAGGCGUCGACGGGUAGCCGGCCUGAGAGGGUGGACGGCCACAUUGGGACUGAGAUACGGCCCAGACUCCUACGGGAGGCAGCAGUGGGGAAUAUUGCACAAUGGGCGCAAGCCGGAUGCAGCGACGCCGCGUGGGGGAUGACGGCCUUCGGGUUGUAAACUCCUUUCAGCCAUGACGAAGCCCUUGUGGUGACGGUAGUGGUAGAAGAAGCACCGGCUAACUACGUG